rnacentral:rRNA from 1 species
CAGCACCUCAAGUGGUCAGGAUGAUUAUUGGGCCUAAAGCAUCCGUAGCCGGCUCUGUAAGUUUUCGGUUAAAUCUGUACGCUCAACGUACAGGCUGCCGGGAAUACUGCAGAGCUAGGGAGUGGGAGAGGUAGACGGUACUCGGUAGGAAGGGGUAAAUCCUUUGAUCUAUUGAUGACCACCUGUGGCGAAGGCGGUCUACCAGAACACGUCCGACGGUGAGGGAUGAAAGCUGGGGGAGCAAACCGGAUUAGAUACCCGAGUAGUCC